GCCGCCUUAGCUCAGCUGGUAGAGCAACACUUUUGUAAAGUGAAGGUCCAGGGUUCGAAUCCCUGAGGCGGCU
rnacentral:tRNA from 1 species